UUGAGCCAUAAAUAUGAGCACUAUAAAAAUCUUUAGCAUUAUAAGCUAUGUGAUUUUCCAUUACUUUCUAACUACUUGUCUAUGCUGAAAUUUAUAAUUUCAAAAUUUGAAUGAGAUGAAAGGGAGCAAAGAUAGAGGCUUAUUACACUCAGUUUACUCAUCCUGAUCUUGUGUAAUAUCACUGCACUUUCGUCAACAGCCCUGAUGUUCCCUGUCACUUGUCCCCUAGCAGCAAAUAUAUGAAAAGCGCCUCCUGCUCUGAACUAGAUGAGAGCUGGUUGUGACGUACUGAAAACUAACCCUAACCCUACCCUACUCCUAACCUAACCCUAACCCUUAGAUCUGAUCUCUUAUCGAAAGCCACCCACAGCUUGAAAUGCCACAUGCAAUCUCCCUUAUUUAGUAAUAAUACUCUUAAAAUGGGAGGUGACAUUUUUUAAAUGCCCUCCAUUGUCACUUUAAGGUAUCUGCUUAUUAAAUGACAUUUUACCAGAUACCUCUGUGUUGUAUUUCUUCCAUUGUUCCUUACCUGUUUUCAUUUCCUUUACCUUAUAUGCUUUAACCAAUAAGCACAUUUCGCACAACUAACCGUUCCACCCCACACACACUUUUAGAAUGUCUCUCUUUAGAUUUUUAUGACAUCCUGUACCUCUGCUGUAAUUAAAUACUCUUCCAAACCAUCACACAGCCUUUCUGAGAUGCCAGCUUGGUUUUCCCCUAAGUACGGAAAUACAGUGCUUGAACACCUUUUUUCAUUAUGAAUCAUUUGUUAACUUACUAAUGAAAUGAACAGAGGCAGUUUUGAGCUUCAAUGUGUGACAUAAAACUGACAAAAUUGGAAAACUAAAUCCAAGAGUUAAUCAAGGAGUCAAGUUCUACCUAACAUGUGAAGUAAGAACUGCGAAAAGUGGGAAAAUAAGUCCACGAGUUAAUCAAGGGUCAAGUUCACCUGCCUGUAAAUGAAAGACAAAGCCCAUCAGCAAGCUCUUUCUAACACCCCUCUGAAAACUGCUAUGAAUUCUUUCCCUGGUUCUGGGAGUUAACGUGAAACUGGAUAAUCCAACAACAUCAGUUCCUUGCCACUUAACCGAUCGACAGCACAAUGGUGAAUAAUUCAUUAAUAAUUCAUUACAUUUAUAUAGCGCUUUUCUCAGUACUCAAAGCGCUAUCCACACAGGGAGGAACCGGGAAGCGAACCCACAAUCUUCCACAGUCUCCUUACUGCAAAGCAGCAGCACUACCACUGCGCCACCUAGUGAAGUCAGCCAUAUCAUCCAGGACAGAGUUCGGAAAUAUCAGACUACCAUGGGACGUCAGCUUCCUCCACCUAUCAACCUGAAGAGACAACAAACAACAGGGAGAAGACAUUAUCGCAAAGAUCUGAGGACCCAAGUCUACUCCCAGAAGAUCAAAUGAAGCAUUCAGUAGAACAUACGGCCUGAACAGCUGGCUGCAGGACCUGGUGUGUGUGUGUGUGUGUGUGUGAAUCACAGCGUUGACUUUAUGAACAACUGAGGCCUCUUCUAGGAAAGACCACGGAUUUACAGAAACGAUGCCCGGAACCCCAGUCAACAAGGAUUCAAAGUCAAAUCUAAGAGAACUGAUACGGUAAUUUAGGGAUUUUGAUAGCAUAUCUGUUAUGCAUAAAAAUGCAUUAGAAUGUUAGUAAAAUGCUUGCUUCCUAAAUGAAAAUGUGUACUAUGUAAAGUAUCUAAUAACUAUUCAUUGAGGAGUAAAAAUAAUUACACAUAUCAAAAAUGUUAUGCUAUUUGAAGGUGCAGUGCUGCUCCACAGAUCUCAGUGUCCUUCACUGGAGUCCCACAAAUGGCUUUUGUCUGUGUGUCGAUUGCACCGUCUCCUCACGUCACUGUAGGUUGUCCUGCAGGUACUCGGCUUUCCUCCCACAUGUCCAAAGACUUGCAGGACAGGUUAACACUCAAUUGUGCUAAGGGGAUUUAAGAAUGUUAUAUUAUAAACAAUUGAAUUCUCAUAUAGUUUUGCAUUAAAUAUAUUCCACAACAAAAGCCUUCCUGGGUCUAUGAAGAAAAUAACAUUCUCAAACCCUCCAAAGCCAGUUAAGGGUCCUGGGAGAGUGAAACUUAACCUAGCAGUAUUAGGGCAAGGUCUCCACAGGCACACAGAGCUGUUUGUUUGCACCAAUAAUAUCUAAUGUCUUUUCAAUAAACAAGUAGUAUAGGACAUUUUUAGAAAGAUGCCAAAAGCACAUUUUUCCAUUAGAAUUAUUAACUCAUUUUAACAAAGUUUGGACCCUAAUACUUAACUAAUUAAAUGUGCUUAAGUGUGUUUAGUCUAUCUGCUUUUACUAUUAAAAUUAUUAUUAAAUAAUAAACGUUAAAAUGUGCAAUAGACGUUUGUGCUAAUUAGUACGACCAUCAUUUGUUAACCCUUUCUCUUUCUUUUCUUCAUUUUUGGUAUCCUGCUGUGGCGUUAUGCGGCACUACACCCUUGUCAAAGUUUCUCGGCAAUCCUAUGGAAAAUGUCAUCGGCUUGAAGGAUAACACAUCUACAGUGACUCUGCAAUCCUCGGACCCACAUGACAUCACAAGAAGCAGUGACAGUUUGGUAACAUUUUAGUUUAGGUACUGCAAAAACGCAUCGAUUUCUCAUGUACUCUUCUGUAACAAGACUUUCACAAAGGCUUCCUUUGCUCUUCAUAACACUUAUAAAACAUCACUAGAUGGCAUCAGAGUGGCAUCUUGACAUGAUAUUAAGAUGACUUGAUAAUAUGAGGGUCUUAAACUGCAUAUGGAAUAGAAUGAGUGAUGGGAAAGGAAGUACAGAGAAUGAGAAAGCAAGGGAGGCCAAAGUGGAGGUGAACGGAUAAAGUACAAGAAGAUCUGAAGGAAAAGGGCUUGACUGGCAAGGAGGUGCAGGACCGAGCUGUUUGGAGAAGGUUGAUCAAGCGCAUCAACACCACAUAAAAGUAGAAGAAGAAGAUGAAGAAGAAGAAGAAGAGAAAUGCAUCUCAGUUGUGCCACUUCAAACCACUCCAAAGUGAAGUUUUGUAAACAGGUCACAUUUCAGAGAUGAAAAACACUUUAUUGAUAUUUUAUAAGUGCAAUGAAGAUCCAAAGAAGUGUUCGGUGAGGUUUUCUUACAUAACAGUUCAUGAGUAAUAGAAGGAUUUUUGCAGGACCUCAACUGAAGUGUUACCCACAGUUUAAUAUGCUACAGAAUGCCCGGGAGGGGCUGGGCGGCCAUUUGGCCUAGGUCAACAAGUCUUUGUAUUCUUGCACUGCUAAUGACCGUGGGCCCCCAGAGGUUUUUCUUUCUCCAUUAUAUUUUUUCUGGAGUUUUUAUUUUUCCUCUCCUCCGUUGCCAUAUGGCCAUUGCUAUUCAAAAUAAUAAACUGUUAUAUCAGCACUUAUCAGAUAAAAAUCAAUAAGUAAUAGAUUUAACAAAUUAUCUAAAAUGCUCUGUAUAACUUUUUUAAUUAUGAAUAUUUAUUUUGUAAUUUUUCUUCUUCUUAUUCAACAUUUAUUAUUAUAUAGUCUCAGCAGCAUACUAUUCUGAUAUCUUCCCUUUUUUUAUCUGUCUUUAUAGUUAUAUAAUUUUAAGGUAAAUUGUAUAGUAAUUCUGGUAAAACACUUUCAACCUCAUUCAAUCAAUAAAAUGGUCCACUCUGGGUAUUGUUCUUCUUCUUAUAUCCAGGCCUGACGUGUGUACUGACUAUACGUUAAGCCCUGUAAAUAAAAUAAUUUUGGAGCUA